AUGGCGGCCUUCGCCUCCACCUCCCCCUCGCCGGCGAUCUCCGCCUCGGCCUGGCGCAUGGACUCCCUGCGCGCCGCGCUCCCCGCGCUCCGCUCCUCCCCGUCGGCGGCCGUCCGGCCUCGCAGGCAGGCGGCCUCCGCCGCCCCGUUCCUCCGGAGCUCCUUCGUCUCCACCUCCUCCGCCUCGUCCUCCGUCUCCCCCGCCCCGAUGUCCUCCGCGGCCUCGGCGUCCCUCGCCUUCUCGUACACCUCCUCGUUCUCCGUGGAAUCAAGCUUUGCUCACCGACUGUUUGGCAUUGAUGUCCGUGGAAGGAUAUUGGCGAUGAGGCACGGGAAGCGCAUUCCUAGGCUCAACAGGCCUGCAGAUCAGCGGAAAGCACUCCUGCGUGGGCUGACCACACAGCUGCUGAAGCACGGGAGGAUAAAGACUACCAAGCCAAGGGCAAAGGCGAUGAGGAAGUGGGUUGACAAGAUGAUCACGAUGGCGAAGGAUGGAUCUCUUCACAAGAGGAGGCAGGCCCUGGGGUAUAUUUAUGAGAAGCACAUAGUCCAUGCAUUGUUUGCUGAGGUUCCAGACAGGUAUGGGGAAAGAAACGGGGGCUACACAAGGAUCAUCCCGACAUUCCCAAGGCGGGGAGAUAAUGCACCUAUGGCUUACAUCGAACUUGUCUAG
rnacentral:rRNA from 1 species